UGGAAUGCAUGACGCGUUUAACGCAAUACAAUACAACUUUCAGCAACGGAUCUCUUGGCUCUCGCAUCGAUGAAGAACGCAGCGAAAUGCGAUAAGUAAUGUGAAUUGCAGAAUUCAGUGAAUCAUCGAAUCUUUGAACGCACCUUGCGCCCUUUGGCUAUUCCGAAGGGCAUGCCUGUUUGAGUAUCGUGAACACCUCAACUCUCAUGGUUUGCCGUGAUGAGCUUGGACUUUGGGGGUCUUGCUGGCCUUUGGUCGGCUCCUCUCAAACGGAUCAGCUUUCCAGUGUUUGGUGGCGUCAUGGGUGUGAUAACUAUCUACGCCUGUGGUUUUCUGCCAG
rnacentral:rRNA from 1 species